CUCUUCGUCUUCUCUCUUCUUUAAUUCUUGUUUUCAUCUUCGCCUCCCAAUCUCCUCCACUGCUCCUUAGAUGCUGCAGAUUUGGACCCACUGCAGCUCAACACUCCUUUCUCCAACAAAAGCCAAAGCCCAGAGAGAGUGCGAGGCUUUCGAAUGUAUUCCCAGGGUUUGACAAAAACCACCUCUCCACAAUCGAUGGCAGCUAGCUCGACAAAAACUCUGCUGACUGGAUUUUGUGUUGGCCUUUAUUGGCGUCUUGUGUUUUGAAUUUGAUCGUGUUUUGGGUUUGGAUUUUUGCAGUUUCUGCUGGACCUCUGUUUUGUACAUUUGGGUUUAUGCAUGUGGUUCAGUCUGGCUAUGGUGGAGGACCUGCUGGUUUUGUUCUUGUAUUUAUUCCGUUUCAUUUUUAUUUUAUUGCCUUUGAAUUUUGGAUUUAGAUUUAAUAAGUACAACCGAGUUGGCCAAGCAGAUCAUAGUAUGUUGUCUGGGCUCUGGAUUGAAGACCCACCUAAUCCUUUGUUAUUUUUUUCGUACCAAACCCUAUUGGCUUGUUAAAUUUGUUAUUUUUUUUGGUUAUUGAGGGCGCUAGGAUUGGUUUCUCUUAUUCGAGACUGGGAUGGUCAAUAAAUUGGUAGAAGGGAAAAAAUAUCUUUUGAUAAAAAAGAACGAUGAAAUCUACGUGUCCAUAUUAUGGAGUGAAUUUCUAAGAGGAGUCCUUUUUUUGGUGUUUGAAUGUACCCCUGCUUUAACUGUGAGUAUUUUACUUGCAUAUCUGUGCGUAUUUUACUUGCAUUUGCUGCUUGCUUUGUAGAUCUAUAAUGCCAUUGAUACUAUACCAGUACAUCUGUAAUUGCUUGUAAAGAUUACUGUGAUAAUUUUCAUUUAUGCUGCAGCAUAUUGAAGUUCUGGCUCCCACUCCAAAAAAGGAUGAGCUCUUGCUAAAACUGGAAGCAAUUAAUCUAAAUCCAGUUGAUUGGAAAAUUCAGAAAGGCACUAUGCGGCCUUUGUUGCCUCGCAGGUUCCCUCAAGUGCCUGGCUACUCGAUUUGACAUGAUGAAGAAGAAUGUCUAAUUAGCAUUCUAUACAUCUUACAGUUCAACUACUUAUGCCAGUUUCGAAGGAAGUUGGGAGCAUUUGACUUUCCUUUAGUACUCAAGUAGCCUCGAGAUAUUAAACUUUGAAAUCAAAACUAAUACAGUAACAUCAUUUAUGCAGUGCUGAACAAUUCUAUUACAUUCCAAACAUCAAAUAGAAAUUUGGCUCAAAGUAUCUUUGGCUCUUUGUUUA